UGGACCAGCGACUGGUCAGUGACCACUGUUUACGCCCUUGAUUUUCCUCGAAGGCGAUUGUAGCGAAAUAUAUUCUCGCUAUGCCGCAGUGUUCCUUAUCUAGGGCUAGAUCAGCGAGCUGGAUUCUCGCAGGAAAGAUCGCGCGGCCGGCCAGGAAUCGGCGCCGAUGGAGGUGAGAAUUCGAGGCGCCGGCAGGUUUUCACAAGAUCGGCAUCGAAUUGCUACCUAGGGAAGAAGAUCUCCAAGAAUUCGCAAGGAUUUUGCUAGAUCGUGUCGAAUUCCUGGUGGAUAGGUGAAAUAUCGCGCGGCAAGCUGAGGUAGAGCCGAUAAUCCAUCGAAUUCCAGCCGGAUCUGGGAGCUAUGGCGCACGAUAACGACUAUGAAAGAUCUUCGCCGGCCGCCGUCAACACCAGGAUCAUGGUCGCGGCAGUGGUGGUGCUGUUCGUGGUCGUGCUCUUCAUCCUCUUCUUGCACAUCUACGCGCGCUGGUUCUGGCGUAGCGCCAGGCUCAGGGCUGCCGCGAGGGGCGGAUCAGGCGGCCGGGCUUGGUCGCGGCGAUUUGGCAGGCGGAGGAGAAUGCGAUUCACGGUCGAGCCCGGGAUUGCCGCCAACGGCGUGGUGGUGCCGAGCAAGGGAUUGGACAAGGAGGUGCUGGAAUCGCUCCCCAUCUUCUUCUACACGAAGAAAGAUGGAGAGGUGGUCAAAGAAGGCGACCGCGAAGAGGAGGAGGAGGAGGAGAUCUUGGAGUGUGCCGUGUGCUUGUCCGAGUUUGAGGAGAACGAAGCUGGGCGGAGGCUACCAAAAUGCGGCCAUGUCUUCCACACCGAGUGCAUCGAUAUGUGGUUCUCUUCCCACUCGACGUGCCCGCUGUGUAGAACCAGCGUGGGAUUGGAGGCUUCCAGCGAUCGAGAUCGAGACCUCGAGCGAGGCGAGGCCGCGGAAGCUAUAGCGGUGGAGGGUGGAAGCAGCAACGGGUCUCAAGGCGAGCAGCUGCUACGAGAGGCUGCGGUAUCGGGUCUGAUCACUGGCACGAAUGCUUCUCCAGCGGUUUCCAGCACAGGUGGUACUACUGCUAUAGCAAUUCAGAUCCUCCAGGACGAAGGAGCGAUUCUACUCCAGGAGCAAAGCGGUCCUUCGUCAAGCUCGUCGGGAUUGAAAGGUCAGUCAUCUCAGCAGCAGCACUUUCCAGCCAGCGUUUUGUUCUGGGGGAAUCGCUCGUAUACAAACUCCAACAGUGCUACAGUUGGUUCUUCGUCGGCGGCGGCAUCUCAACAACAACAAGAACAGCACGAGACGGCGACGACGACUGUUGCUACUGCCGCGUCUUACACGCCAUCGCCCAAGAAGCAGCGACGCGAGCUCAUCAUCGAUGUCCCUCGUCGAUCCGCCGCCAACUUCUCGUCGGCGUGCUCCUCGCAGUUGCCUUCGCCCAAUUCGGCAGAAGGUGGGGGGCAAAGAUCCCCGCUGGGAGCGCACCUCCGGAGCAUCAAGAGACUCCUGAGCAGGGACUCGAGGCGCGACACUUCGCCAUCUCCAGUCGGACGAGAUUGCUGUGAAUCAUCGCAGUAUCACUCGGCUUGUCACACGCCGGGAUCCAUCACCCCGACAUCACAGUGCUGAUUUUUAAAACUCUGUUAGCAUACGGAAGUUUGCAUCGAUACGUUAACUGUAAACAAAACAGUGUCCUCGUAACCAGCGGAACCAAGAAUAUGAGCGAAAGAGAGAAAAAAAAAAAAAAAAACAGAGAAAUCCUGUGCGACUAGAGACUGAAC